rnacentral:rRNA from 1 species
GUUACGACGGGGCCCGGCGACAAGCGGUGGAGCAUGUGGUUAAUUCGAAGCAACGACGAAGAACCUUACCAGGCCUUGACAUGCAGAGAACUUUCCAGAGAUGGAUUGGUGCCUUCGGGAACUCUGACACAGGUGCUGCAUGGCUGCCGUCAGCUCGUGUCGUGAGAUGUUGGGUUAAGUCCGUAACGAGCGCAACCCUUGUCCUUAGUUACCAGCACGUUAUGGUGGGCACUCUAAGGAGACUGCCGGUGACAAACCGGAGGAAGGUGGGGAUGACGUCAAGUCAUCAUGGCCCUUACGGCCUGGGCUACACACGUGCUACAAUGGUCGGUACAAAGGGUUGCCAAGCCGCGAGGUGGAGCUAACCCCAUAAAACCGAUCGUAGUCCGGAUCGCAGUCUGCAACUCGACUGCGUGAAGUCGGAAUCGCUAGUAAUCGUGAAUCAGAAUGUCACGGUGAAUACGUUCCCGGGCCUU